CCUACGGGUGGCUGCAGUGGGGAAUUUUGGACAAUGGGGGCAACCCUGAUCCAGCCAUGCCGCGUGAGUGAAGAAGGCCUUCGGGUUGUAAAGCUCUUUCGGCCGGGAAGAAAUCGUGCGGGCUAAUACCCUGUAUGGAUGACGGUACCGGAAGAAGAAGCACCGGCUAACUACGUGCCAGCAGCCGCGGUAAUACGUAGGGUGCGAGCGUUACUCGGAAUUACUGGGCGUAAUGUCGUAGCAGACGGUUGAAAUCCCCGGGCUUAACCUGGGAACUGCGUUUGUGACUGCGAGACUUGAGUGCGGCAGAGGGGGGUGGAAUUCCACGUGUAGCAGUGAAAUGCGUAGAGAUGUGGAGGAACACCGAUGGCGAAGGCAGCCCCCUGGGUCGACACUGACGCUCAUGCACGAAAGCGUGGGGAGCAAACAGGAUUAGAUACCCUGGUAGUC
rnacentral:rRNA from 1 species